GGCGGACGGGUGCGUAACACGUGGACAAUCUACCUUCCGGCGGGGGACAACAGUUCGAAAGGACUGCUAAUACCGCGUACGUCGGCGAGGGCUCCGGCCCUUGUCGAGAAAGAUGGCCUCUCCUUGGAAGCUGUCACCGGAAGAUGAGUCCGCGGCCCAUCAGCUAGUUGGUGAGGUAACGGCUCACCAAGGCUAAGACGGGUAGCUGGUCUGAGAGGAUGAUCAGCCACACUGGGACUGCGACACGGCCCAGACUCCUACGGGAGGCAGCAGUGGGGAAUAUUGGGCAAUGGGCGAAAGCCUGACCCAGCCACGCCGCGUGAGUGAUGAAGGCCUUCGGGUCGUAAAGCUCUGUGGGGAGGGACGAACAAGCAGGCGUCAAAUAGGCGCAGGCCCUGACGGUACCUCCUUAGCAAGCACCGGCUAACCAUGUGCCAGCAGCCGCGGUAAUACAUGGGGUGCAAACGUUGCUCGGAAUCAUUGGGCGUAAAGCGCGCGUA
rnacentral:rRNA from 1 species